AUACGUAGGUGGCGAGCGUUGUCCGGAAUUACUGGGCGUAAAGGGUGCGUAGGCGGAUAAUCAAGUCAGAUGUGAAAGUCCAUGGCUUAACUGUGGGAGUGCAUUUGAGACUGAAGAUCUAGAGUGCAGGAGAGGGAAGCGGAAUUCCUAGUGUAGCGGUGAAAUGCGUAGAUAUUAGGAAGAACACCAGUGGCGAAGGCGGCUUUCUGGACUGUAACUGACGCUGAAGCACGAAAGCGUGGGGAGCAAACAGGAUUAGAUACCCUGGUAGUCCACGCCGUAAACGAUGAGUAUUAGGUGUAGGGGACGAUAGUCUCCUGUGCCGGAGCAAACGCAAUAAAUACUCCGCCUGGGGAGUACGGUCACAAGACUAAA
rnacentral:rRNA from 1 species